GAUGAACGCUGGCGGCGUGCUUAACACAUGCAAGUCGAACGAUGAAGCCCAGCUUGCUGGGUGGAUUAGUGGCGAACGGGUGAGUAACACGUGAGUAACCUGCCCUUAACCCUGGGAUAAGCCUGGGAAACUGGGUCUAAUACCGGAUAGGAGCGCCUACCGCAUGGUGGGUGUUGGAAAGAUUUAUCGGUUUUGGAUGGACUCGCGGCCUAUCAGCUUGUUGGUGAGGUAAUGGCUCACCAAGGCGACGACGGGUAGCCGGCCUGAGAGGGUGACCGGCCACACUGGGACUGAGACACGGCCCAGACUCCUACGGGAGGCAGCAGUGGGGAAUAUUGCACAAUGGGCGAAAGCCUGAUGCAGCGACGCCGCGUGAGGGAUGACGGCCUUCGGGUUGUAAACCUCUUUCAGUAGGGAAGAAGCGAAAGUGACGGUACCUGCAGAAGAAGCACCGGCUAACUACGUG
rnacentral:rRNA from 1 species